rnacentral:RNase_P_RNA from 1 species
UGCCGAAUGAGUUUAAGCUCAAAAUAUCCUGCAAGUAUACAUACACAAUGGCGUGGAAAGAAAAAGAAGAAAAAAAAAAAAAAAAAAAAAAGGAAAAAAAGGUAAAAAGUUUUUUAAUUUUUUUUUUUUUUUUUUUUUUUUUUUUUUUUUUUUUUUUUCCUCUUUUCAUUCCUCGUACCCCCCCGCGUUGUGUAAUUUUUUCAUAACAGGAAGGAAGGUCUGAGAUGCUGCAAAUAAAGAAGACACAAAAGGGGAAAAGAACGAUACAUGUGGUUACAGAGUUUGUCGAAAAUUCUUGUCUCCACAUGCUUGGUUCUUUUCCCUUUUUGUUCCAUUCCUUGUGAAUUCUUCUUUAAACUCUUUUUGAGAAAAAAAAAUAUUGAAGAAAUAUUAAUUAGCUACCAGAAAUGCCAAUCGUACAUUUUUGGUCUGUCCCUUUCUCUUUUUUUUUCUCCUUUUUUUGGAGGGCGAAGGGUGGAGACCAAAAAUGUAUGAUUUUGAAAAAGCUAAUAAGCAAGUAUACGCAAUUGAGUUCGAUUUUUGAGAUUUUUCGAUCGUCCUAAUUGUGUACCUUUGCUUCUUUUCAUGUAUGUGUGUUGGGGGAUGGUUCCCCCCUCCCCCACCUCCUUGGAAAAGAAGAAAGGGUUAACACUUUGGACACCUCCGAGAAAUAACCUAAUUCAGACUACUCGUAAAUUCAUUCGCACAA